rnacentral:lncRNA from 1 species
AAACAAGUGCUUGAAGGCAGUAUGCUUGGUAAAAGUCAUCGCCAUUCUCUAAUCUUGAGUACCCAGGGACACGAUACACUGCGGAAGGCUGCAGGGACCUCUGCCCAGGAAAGCCAGGUGGUUUCCAAAAGGAAAAGCUUUGGGAGAUAGAAGUCCUCGUUUUGACCUCUGCCCUCCUUGUACACCAGGAGCCAGAAAAACUUCAUCUCUUUUACAAGAAACAUUGAGAUUCCUGUAAAAUUAAGAAAUCACACAAUUUGAUGGUCUACAUUAUCUAAAGCAAAUGAGACUUCUAUUUGGAACAAAGACUACCUUGUUGGGAAAUGAGUCUGCAAGUUAAAGUGUUUUCUGGGAUCACUCUAAGCUCCAGUGUCAAGGAGUCAAGUCCUUCAGGAAUUCUCUGCCUCCACUCCCUGUGGCAGAGCUAGAGUGGCUGCCAUGCUUCUGAGCUCAGCCAGCAUCCAGAGAGAGAGUGAGAUACAGCCUCCUCUUCUUGAAGCACCCACUUCUAAACUCUGUGACAGUUUUCUUGGAACUCUGUUAUGUGGAUCUGGAGAUGACAAUGUCACAGCACUCCCCUCUAAGCCUAAAUUCCCCCACACCGAUGAACUAUUAGAUGAUGCAUAUCAUAAAUUAUUACUCACCCCAUGUUCCCACCCUCGAGAGACCUCCAAACAAUCACCAUGCCACAGUGAACAUUCAGUAACAAAAAUUCAGCCAGGGUUUUCACCAGCAUGAAUGGCAGUGAUUCCAAUCAGGAAAACAGAAAGAGGAGAGUUCAGAGCCACCUAGAAUGGCUCUUGCAAGAUACGAAAUCAAGGCAGCAGCAACAGGGCUGAACAUUCCUCAUCCCUAACUCUCCCUUCACCAGUAGGAAACCCAGGAUAACUGCAAUCACCGCAGGCCCAUCUGGCCUGAAGUUCUACUACUAGUAGCCCUCCAUGGGACCUUCUUAAGGAAGCAUGUCAACUCAGGUAAGGGAUGUAAGGGGAUGGAUGACCCUUUGAGGCCAAAGUUGGAGCAAAAAACACCAGAUGUUCCUGUGCACUGCUCCUAAGAGAUGGUUCUGAAGACCAGUUCGGGGAGAGGUCAAAAUACUGGACAGAAUCUCAGCAACAUGGAACCUCAAACUAAGUGACAGUCACAGACAACUCUUCCCCAAAGAAAAUAAGCACAGACAUGGUUUGUGGUAAGCAGAAUUAUAAAGAUGAAUUCCCAUCUCCCUGUCAGAUUACCAGUAUGGUAAAUUACCAGAUUACCUGGUUAUUUAUUCAAACACUAAUACAGUUAUUGCCUUGAUGGAAACAUACAGAUACAAUUAAAAUCCCAAGUACCAAAUAAAUUGACCUUAAGACAAAGACUAAGUAAAUCACAUGAGCCCUCUACAAGCAGAGAGUUUUUCUCCAGCUGGUAGCAGAAGCCAGAGAUUUGAAGCAUAGGAAGUAUUCAACACAUUAUUGCUGGCCUGAAAAUGGAAGGGGCCACAUAACGAGGGAAACCGGUGGCCUCUAGAAGCAGGGAGCAGUCCCCUGCUGACAGACAGCAAGCCAAGACCUCAGUUCUACAAUUGCAAGACACUCAAUUCUGCUAAGGACAAAAAUGAGCUUGGAAGUGAACUCUGAGCUUCAGGUGAGAACACGGCCAAACAACACCUUGAUUUCAGCUUAAACAAAGAAUGCAGCCACUCCAUGCCAGAAUUCUGACCUGUAGAAAUUUGAGCUAAUAAAUAGAUGUUUUAAUAGCUUCAUCGAU